GACGAACGCUGGCGGCGUGCUUAACACAUGCAAGUCGAACGGAAAGGCCCUGCUUGCAGGGUACUCGAGUGGCGAACGGGUGAGUAACACGUGGGUGAUCUGCCCUGCACUUCGGGAUAAGCCUGGGAAACUGGGUCUAAUACCGGAUAGGAGCCAUUUUUAGUGUGAUGGUUGGAAAGUUUUUUCGGUGUAGGAUGAGCUCGCGGCCUAUCAGCUUGUUGGUGGGGUAAUGGCCUACCAAGGCGGCGACGGGUAGCCGGCCUGAGAGGGUGGACGGCCACAUUGGGACUGAGAUACGGCCCAGACUCCUACGGGAGGCAGCGGUGGGGAAUAUUGCACAAUGGGCGCAGGCCUGAUGCAGCGACGCCGCGUGGGGGAUGACGGCCUUCGGGUUGUAAACUCCUUUCGCUAGGGACGAAGCUUUUUGUGACGGUACCUAGAUAAGAAGCACCGGCUAACUACGUG
rnacentral:rRNA from 1 species